UUGUGAGGCUUAUGGGUCGUGUUGCUUCUCACAUUACACUAGAGUGUGCUCUAGAGACACACCCUAAUGUUGCACUCAUUGGUGAAGAGGUUGCUGAGAAGUAGGAAACACUCAAGAAUGUCACAGACUACAUUACCGAUGUUGUUUGCAAACGUGCAGAACUUGGUUAAAACUAUGGAGUUGUCCUAAUACCGGAAGGCUUGAUUGAUUUCAUCCCAGAGAUUCAAAAACUCAUUGCAGAAUUGAAUGAAAUUUUGGCACAUGACGUUGUUGACGAGGCAGGGGCUUGGAAAAGCAAGCUUGAACCAGCAUCUAGGGAGUUGUUUCACUUCUUGCCCAAAACCAUUCAGGAGCAGCUUUUGCUUGAA